rnacentral:rRNA from 1 species
GACGAACGCUGGCGGCGUGCUUAACACAUGCAAGUCGAACGGAAAGGCCCUGCUUUCGGGGUACUCGAGUGGCGAACGGGGGAGUAAAACGCGGGUGAUCUGCCCUGCACUUCGGGAUAAGCCUGGGAAACUGGGGCGAAUACCGGAUAGGAGCCAUUUUUAGGGUGAUGGUUGGAAAGUUUUUUCGGUGUAGGAGGAGCUCGCGGCCUAUCAGCUUGUUGGUGGGGGAAUGGCCUACCAAGGCGGCGGCGGGUAGCCGGCCCGAGAGGGUGGACGGCCAACUUGGGGCCGGAAUGAGGCCCCAGCUCCCUCGGGGGGCAAGCGUUGGGAAUUUUUCCACAUGGGCCCAAGCCUGAUGCAGCCACGCCGCGGUGGGGAAGACCGCCUUCGGGUUGUAAACUCCUUUCCCUAGGGACGGAGCUUUUUGUGACGGUACCUAGAUAAGAAGCACCGGCUAACUACGUG